AUUGAACGCUGGCGGCAUGCUUUACACAUGCAAGUCGAGCGGCAGCGCGGGGGCAACCCUGGCGGCGAGCGGCGAACGGGUGAGUAAUGCAUCGGAACGUAUCCUCGAGUGGGGGAUAACCCAGCGAAAGUUGGGCUAAUACCGCAUGAGCUCUGAGGAGGAAAGCGGGGGACCUGCGAGGGCCUCGCGCUGGAGGAGCGGCCGAUGUCCGAUUAGCUAGUUGGUGGGGUAAAGGCUUACCAAGGCGACGAUCGGUAGCUGGUCUGAGAGGAUGAUCAGCCACACUGGAACUGAGACACGGCCCAGACUCCUACGGGAGGCAGCAGUGGGGAAUUUUGGACAAUGGGGGCAACCCUGAUCCAGCCAUGCCGCGUGAGUGAAGAAGGCCUUCGGGUUGUAAAGCUCUUUAGGACGGAACGAAAUGGGCGGGACUAAUACUCCUGUCUGAUGACGGUACCGUAAGAAGAAGCACCGGCUAACUACGU
rnacentral:rRNA from 1 species